AGUGAACGCUGGCGGUAGGCCUAACACAUGCAAGUCGAACGGCAGCACAGUAAGAGCUUGCUCUUACUGGUGGCGAGUGGCGGACGGGUGAGGAAUACAUCGGAAUCUACUUUUUCGUGGGGGAUAACGUAGGGAAACUUACGCUAAUACCGCAUACGACCUACGGGUGGAAGCAGGGGAUCUUCGGACCUUGCGCGAUUGAAUGAGCCGAUGUCGGAUUAGCUAGUUGGCGGGGUAAAGGCCCACCAAGGCGACGAUCCGUAGCUGGUCUGAGAGGAUGAUCAGCCACACUGGAACUGAGACACGGUCCAGACUCCUACGGGAGGCAGCAGUGGGGAAUAUUGGACAAUGGGCGCAAGCCUGAUCCAGCCAUACCGCGUGGGUGAAGAAGGCCUUCGGGUUGUAAAGCCCUUUUGUUGGGAAAGAAAAGCAGCAGGUUAAUACCCCGCUGUUCUGACGGUACCCAAAGAAUAAGCACCGGCUAACUUCGUG
rnacentral:rRNA from 1 species